UCGCUUUCCGCCAUCUUUAGAUAGAAUAAAACCAUUAUCGGGGUAACGCGUGUGGUUCCGUGGCUGACUGACAGUCGGCAGGUUCCGGGUUUGAGAUUACGCAUUUUGAUUCUUAUAUAUCUCUCAAAAAGUAAAUAGCAUCGAAUUUUUAAGCUUAAUAAAAGAUUGAAUGUGCUUAGUGAUUAACCAGACUAAAUUUCAAGGAAAAAUUCAAGAAAUAAGAUCGCAAACAAAUAGGAGAUUUGCAAAAUACAUUGGAAAUUGUGAUACUGUGUUCCUGAAUAGGACGGAAUAAAGAAGAAAAUUUUUGUCGGAGCUUAGAGCAUUGGUGGGUCAUUUCAGCGUGGUACUCUGUGUUCCUUAGCGUGAAAAUCUAAUAAAAAAAAGACGCAGAGAUAAUUUUAUUUCUCGGAGACAUGAGUUAUCCGAUGUCGUCGAAUCAAUCUAGACCAAUGUCUCAAGGAAAUUAUCAAGGCCCAGGCGACUUGCCUAUGGGGUCCGCAAAAGAACAGACCUUGAUGUGGCAAGAAAUAUUAGUUUAU